rnacentral:RNase_P_RNA from 13 species
AGCUCAUCAGUGGGGCCACGAGCUGAGUGCGUCCUGUCACUCCACUCCCAUGUCCCUUGGGAAGGUCUGAGACUAGGGCCAAAGGCGGCCCUAACAGGGCUCUCCCUGAGCUUCGGGGAGGUGAGUUCCCAGAGAACGGGGCUCCACGCGAGGUCAGACUGGGCAGGAGAUGCCGUGGACCCCGCCCUUCGGGGAGGGGCCCGGCGGAUGCCUCCUUUGCCGGAGCUUGGAACAGACUCACGGCCAGCGAAGUGAGUUCAAUGGCUGAGGUGAGGUACCCCGCAGGGGACCUCAUAACCCAAUUCA